rnacentral:tRNA from 1 species
GCCCGGGUGGCGCAAUGGCAGCGCAACUGUUUUGUAAACAGUAGGUUAGGGGUUCGAAUCCCCUCUCGGGCUCCA